CGUAGAUGAGGGCAGUAUUUCCAGGUAUUAUGGAUUAACUCUGCUACGAUUGCGAGUGAUUGAGAAUGAUGUGGAUAUUAAUACUUAAAGAAUCUAAAGAAUUAAACCAAAGCUCGUGUGUUACAGUUUCUUUGACUGGUGGAUGACAGCAGAAGUCCGUAUCCAAGCCCAUUUUCUCUCCAUCUUCCAAAGUCUGCGGCAGAUUCUGGUUCAGUGUUUCGGGAAGGAGUAAACUGGCAAUGCCUCCCGCUACGAGUAACGCUCCCAUUAUAAUUAAUGGGAGAACCAUGAUAUCCGAGCCCUUAAACCAACAUAAUCGACUAAAUAACGUAGUUAAUAGGUAAAAUAAUAUUUCGAUGAUGCAUGUUUUAUUUUAAUAAUAAUAUUAUAGAAACGGAGCUAAAAUAAUAUUGAAAGUACGUUUUUCAUACAUCGUAAUAUAACAUUUUGCUAUGGCAAAAGAGGGUGUAAGUAAAUUUAAUUAGCGA